rnacentral:rRNA from 1 species
AUUGAACGCCGGCGGCAUGCCUUACACAUGCAAGUCGAACAGCAGCGCGGGAGCAAUCCUGGCGGCGAGUGGCGAACGGGUGAGUAAUAUAUCGGAACGUGCCCAGUAGCGGGGGAUAACGCAGCGAAAGUUGUGCUAAUACAGCAUACGCACUACGGUGGAAAGAGGGGGAUCGCAAGACCUCUCACUAUUGGAGCGGCCGAUAUCAGAUUAGCUUAUUGGCGGGGUAAAAGCCCACCAAGGCGACGAUCUGUAGCUGGUUUGAGAGAAGGACCAGCCACACUGGGACUGAGACACGGCCCAGACUCCUACGGGAGGCAGCAGUGGGGAAUUUUGGACAAUGGGCGCAAGCCUGAUCCAGCCAUGCCGCGUGCGGGAAGAAGGCCUUCGGGUUGUAAACCGCUUUUGUUCGGGAAGAAAUUGACUGGGCUAAUACCCCGGUUAGAUGACGGUACCGGAAGAAUAAGCACCGGCUAACUACGUGCCAGCCGCCGCGGUAAUAC